CCCUUAGAUGUCCUGGGCCGCACGCGCGCUACACUGACGGAGGCAGCGAGCUUACCCCUUUGCCGAAAGGCAUGGGAAAUCUUUUGAAUCUCCGUCGUGCUGGGGAUAGAUCAUUGCAAUUAUUGAUCUUGAACGAGGAAUUCCUAGUAAGCGCAAGUCAUCAACUUGCGUUGAUUACGUCCCUGCCCUUUGUACACACCGCCCGUCGCUCCUACCGAUUGGGUGUGCUGGUGAAAUGUUCGGAUCGGCCGUUUGUCGCGGUUUCCGCGGCUCGUGGCUGAGAAGUUCAUUAAACCCUCCCACCUAGAGGAAGGAGAAGUCGUAACA
rnacentral:rRNA from 1 species